GACAACGCUGGCGGCGUGCCUAAUACAUGCAAGUCGAGCGGAAUGAUGAAGAAGCUUGCUUCUUCUGAUUUUAGCGGCGGACGGGUGAGUAACACGUGGGCAACCUACCUUGUAGAUUGGGAUAACUCCGGGAAACCGGGGCUAAUACCGAAUAAUCCAUUUUGCUUCAUGGCGAGAUGUUAAAAGGCGGCUUCGGCUGUCACUACGAGAUGGGCCCGCGGCGCAUUAGCUAGUUGGUAGGGUAAUGGCCUACCAAGGCGACGAUGCGUAGCCGACCUGAGAGGGUGAUCGGCCACACUGGGACUGAGACACGGCCCAGACUCCUACGGGAGGCAGCAGUAGGGAAUCUUCCACAAUGGACGAAAGUCUGAUGGAGCAACGCCGCGUGAGUGAAGAAGGUUUUCGGAUCGUAAAACUCUGUUGUAAGGGAAGAACACGUACGAGAGUAACUGCUCGUACCUUGACGGUACCUUAUUAGAAAGCCACGGCUAACUACGUG
rnacentral:rRNA from 1 species